AAGGUUGGAAGAUGUGCUGGAUUGUAGCUCUGCCAGGGCGGGUUCUUUUUAUGUUCAAACAAGAAUAAAUCUUUGGUGGUGGUUGUUUAUCCUCAGUGGCAUUGUUUUCAUGUGAGGAGAGAAAGACUGUGGUGUCAAGGUGGCACAGCAGCACUCUGAGAUGCUUGAGGGCUCAGGGUGAGACUUGAGAGCCACAAUUUCCCUCAAGUAGUGGCAGUGACUAAAAACAUCUCAAAACCUCAAGGAAAAACAGGUUGCUUACCUAUAACUGAUGAUCUGGAAGCAAUCAAUUGCCAUUCAUAAUACUGGGUUCUGUGCCUGUACAGGACCAUUCGGGUGGAAGUCAAUAGCUCCUUCUGGUGCCCAGAACCACCCCGUGCAUGUGCUGCACAUCUGUCAUUUUCUGAGCUUUGGCACCAUUUUACUUUAGUUCUUUGAAGACCAUUAAUCAAGGAAAAUAAUUCUGAGGAGUUACACCACUGAGAUACAAACGCUGUGGUGGUCAGAAAGGAACUGAAAUAAAAUGGCACCAAACCAUCGACAAUAGCGUACAGUACAUGCAGCACAUGCACAGGCGGUUCUGGGCACCACAAGGAGCUAUUGAAAUCCACCCAAAUGGUCCCAUGCAGGUGCAGAACCCAGUAUUAAUGUAUACCAAUGGAUCACAAUCCAGAUCACUAAGUAUUUCUAUGUCAAGAAUUUGCAUUCCAGGAAAAUCAAAUGACUUUUAAGAUGCUCCAGGACCACCUGAAAUUAACAACACCCUUCUCUAGAAAAACUAGCACAGUCACAGUAAUGGCUGCUACUACGCUGUUUCUGAGGGCAGGUCCAAGAUUCAGGUCCAAGACACUAAGAUUCAUUGCCAUCCAUCAUUUUGUCUCUAGGAAGCCAGGAAAAAACAGGAGGAGCCAUUUUGUGGCUCAUUUCGGGGGUGGGAUCGGACUUGCCCCCAUGAUUUUUCACGGUUUGUUGGGGGGUACAUUCCUGAGCACAUGGAGGACCAGUAGAGCAUGCCUGAGUAAGUUCUGGCCCAUUUUUGGGUCGUUUGGCAGCUGUAAACAUUUUUCCUUCCACCUUGGCAUCUAACCCCUCUUUCCCCAUAGACCUAAUACCUCAUUACUCACAGUUCCAUUACUCGCAGUAGUAGACGAGGAACGGAACCCCCGCAAGCAACAAGGUUCUCCUGUAUAUGUUUUUCCUGCUUUUCAAAGCACUAAUAAAAAGAUUAUAUUAAACUUAGUGGGUUCAGGCAGCUUACCACAUUUUCAUCAUUAACACAUAAUAUUGUUGGGAUUUAUAUGUAAAUACAUUGUCUUUGUUCUUGCCACUGAGGUAUUUUAUGUAUAACUGUGUAUAGGCUUGGUGUGGAGUUUAGAAUGUUCGUGCGAAUCAUCAGUUCUGUAGACUGAUUGUUCAAUUUGUAUUUUUUUACUGAAUGCUUGAGACUUAUUUUUCUGUUAGGAUGAUCUUUCAGCUCAGAGUAGGACUAAUUUUUUAAAUUUAUUUAUUUAUUUAACUAACAUAUUUUUAUACC